rnacentral:lncRNA from 1 species
UCGAAUACGUGGUCCCACUUUUUAUGGCGCUAAAUUAUCGGAUCAUAAUCAUAGAGUUAAUAGGUUGUUUAUGCCUACUAAUGAUCAUGACACGUAAUCGAUAAUCGUUUAUAAUGGUUAGAUGCGUUGAGAAAAUAGACCGAUUAUAUGUCGGUAAUAGUGGUAAGUCGGUAGUCCUGGAGAUCUGAAUGAGCAUCGGUCGGUAACUCUGAUAUGUCGAUAGUUUUCGAUCAGAGAUUAACUGAAUUGUCCGUUAUUGGUUGAUAAUAACCGACUGUCAGUCGGUAAAUUGAUUGUUAGUCGGAGUAAUGUGUUUAUAAGACCGAUGUAGAGUCAGAGUCGGGGGUCGGUUGAAUGGUCUCAACAGUUGCCCCCCACUCUCAAAUCCAAGGUGGUCCGACGUGUAUAUCAUCAUAUGUUCUAUCACGUUGGACGAAGAGAGUCAUCACGUGUUGCAUCGAGCUCCGAUUCAGCUGCUGGUCUUUAUGAGUUUUUGAAAUACGAAAAAUCCUCAACUGUUUUGCUGUUUCGAUAGCUGUGAAAUUAUUAUUGGGCUAUCAUUUCGAUAAGAUAAUUUGACGUCUAGGACAUCCGGAUGAUUUGAUUCUGACUAAUAGAUCUUGGCUACAUAUCCAAACAUCAUUGGAUUGGAGCUGUUCACGUGGAUAAUGGUGAGGUGGCAUGAUCAGGAGCAGGUGCGUUGAACCAUCCGACC